AUACGUAGGGUGCGAGCGUUGUCCGGAAUUACUGGGCGUAAAGAGCUCGUAGGUGGUUUGUCGCGUCGUCUGUGAAAUUCCGGGGCUUAACUCCGGGCGUGCAGGCGAUACGGGCAUAACUUGAGUACUGUAGGGGAGACUGGAAUUCCUGGUGUAGCGGGGAAAUGCGCAGAUAUCAGGAGGAACACCGGUGGCGAAGGGGGGUCUCUGGGCAGUAACUGACGCUGAGGAGCGAAAGCAUGGGUAGCGAACAGGAUUAGAUACCCUGGUAGUCCAUGCCGUAAACGGUGGGCGCUAGGUGUAGGGGUCUUCCACGACUUCUGUGCCGUAGCUAACGCAUUAAGCGCCCCGCCUGGGGAGUACGGCCGCAAGGCUAAAACUCAAAGGAAUUGACGGGG
rnacentral:rRNA from 1 species